AGAUACCCCAGUUCUCUGACAGCCUGGACCGUAAGUCUGCGUCUCUCAGAGGGUCCACGGCUCUUCUGUUCGAGCUCGAAGAUAAAGUGGCUCAGGCAGCGGCCGAUGUCCAGAACACACAGAGUCAGGUCUCCUACAUAGAAAACAAGAUAGCUGCGCUGAACGCUGCUGGAAUGCCCAUCGACAAAAGGAGGAAGUCCGCGAUCCCAGUCCAGACUCGGAGACUGUCCCAGAACUAUCCCACAACUCAAGCCGACAGGUUUGUGAGGAACUGCAGCUACAGGGGGUCUCUGACUCAAAGGAACCCAGUCCAGAAGCCCCAACCUCAGGCAAAGUGUGCGAAGCCGGUCAUGACUCAGGCCUCAUAAGACGUCGUCUCAGUGUGAUCUGAUGGGGCUCAUUUUCAGAGGGACUUCAGAGAAAUGUGGAACAAGACAUUUUAAAAGUAUUUUCCUUCGUUAAAACUGGACCUGAUUUCUCUGUCUUUUUAUUCGCACAUU
ensembl:lncRNA